rnacentral:rRNA from 1 species
UCGCCUGUUUAUCAAAAACAUGGUUUCUUGUUUAUUUAAGAAAUUUAACCUGCCCACUGAAAUAUUUUUAAAGGCCGCAGUAUAUUGACUGUGCAAAGGUAGCAUAAUCAUUAGUCUUUUAAUUGAAGGCUGGUAUGAAUGGUUGGACGAGGCAUAUACUGUUUUAUAUUAAUUUAAAUUGAAUUUAAGUUUUAAGUAAAAAAGCUUAAAUGUUGUUAAGGGACGAGAAGACCCUAUAGAGUUUAAUAUAUGUAGUAAUUAAUUGAGUUAAAUUUUAAUUUUUGGUUAUUAUAAAGUUUAUUUAAUUGGGGUGAUUAGAAGAUAAGAUUAACUCUUCUUUAGUAUAAAUAUUGUUAUUAAUUAAUUGAUCCAUAGUUAAUGAUUAAAAGAUUAAAUUACCUUAGGGAUAACAGCAUAAUUCUUUUUAAGAGUUCAUAUCGAAAAAGGAGAUUGUGACCUCGAUGUUGGAUUAAGAUUUGUUUUAGGUGCAGAUGUUUAAAUAAACUAGGUCUGUUCGACCUUUAAAAUCUUACAUGAUCUGAGUUCCAAC